UACGAAGGGUGCUAGCGUUGCUCGGAAUCACUGGGCGUAAAGCGCACGUAGGCGGCUUUUUAAGUCAGGGGUGAAAUCCUGGAGCUCAACUCCAGAACUGCCUUUGAUACUGAGAGGCUCGAGUCCGGGAGAGGUGAGUGGAACUGCGAGUGUAGAGGUGAAAUUCGUAGAUAUUCGCAAGAACACCAGUGGCGAAGGCGGCUCACUGGCCCGGUACUGACGCUGAGGUGCGAAAGCGUGGGGAGCAAACAGG
rnacentral:rRNA from 1 species